rnacentral:rRNA from 1 species
GUUUACACCCAUACCACCCAGAACGCAGCUGAUCUCAUCUUAUCUCAGAAGCUAAGCAGGGUUGAGCUUGGUUACUACUUGGGAGACCACCUGGGAAUACUGGGUGCUGUAGCUU